rnacentral:lncRNA from 1 species
GAAGAAGUUUGGCAUAGGAUCAGGUUGUCAGGUCAACAGGCAUUUGUUAAGCUCCUUCAAUGUGUUAAGUGCUGGGAAUGAACAGAAAAGAAGAGGAGAAGUGAAGAGAGGGGAAGGGAAGGGGAAGGAGAAAAGGUACAGGAAAGGAGGAGAGGGAUGGAGAGAGGAGGGGAGGGGAGAGGAGAGAAGAGAAGAAAAGGUAAAAGUAAGCAAUGAGAGUAACAUCUCUUUUGGACUUCAUUCUGACAAACAAGAUGAAGUGGAAAAAUCCUCAGAUCUCCCCUUUUUGGUACCCCCUUAUGCCCUAAGGACUGGCUUUGCAAGGCUGACACACCCAGAAGCUUGCUACAAACAGGAUGAUCUGCUGGAACUCCAGAACAAAGCAAAUGGCUCCACUUCAUAGGGCACUGCCACUCCCCAUGCCAUGACCUGACAAACUAUGAUGGAUUGAUGCUCUGGACUUAUACUGUGUACCAUUAUAAGGACUAUACAAGCCUGCCCCCUCCCCUUGAACAAUGCUGCAACAGGAUGCAGGGCUGCUCUCCUUUUUUCAUCCAAUCAUGUAACUCCCAAAUCUGUGUAUGUCCAACCAAGUAACCUAAGUGUAUAAAAUAACAAGAACCCCUUUCCUUAGUGUCCAGACCUGAGGAAUGGCUCCAUCUGGAUGUGCAUGCAAAAUAAAUCUCCUUCCAUCCUUACUCUUGAGUGACA